rnacentral:rRNA from 1 species
GACGAACGCUGGCGGCGUGCUUAACACAUGCAAGUCGAACGGUAAGGCCCUUCGGGGUACACGAGUGGCGAACGGGUGAGUAACACGUGGGUGAUCUGCCCUGCACUUCGGGAUAAGCCUGGGAAACUGGGUCUAAUACCGGAUAGGACUCCUGGCUUCAUGGUUGGGGGUGGAAAGCUUUUGCGGUGUGGGAUGGGCCCGCGGCCUAUCAGCUUGUUGGUGGGGUAAGGGCCUACGAAGGCGACGACGGGUAGCCGGCCUGAGAGGGUGACCGGUCACACUGGGACUGAGAUACGGCCCAGACUCCUACGGGAGGCAGCAGUGGGGAAUAUUGCACAAUGGGCGCAAGCCUGAUGCAGCGACGCCGCGUGAGGGAUGACGGCCUUCGGGUUGUAAACCUCUUUCAGCUAUGACGAAGCGCAAGUGACGGUAGUAGCAGAAGAAGGACCGGCCAACUACGUGCCAGCAGCCGCCGUAA